rnacentral:lncRNA from 1 species
AAAACCCAGAGCCUUUCCCACCCAGUUAGCUGUCUUGUCUCCUUGAUGGCUGCUGUCUCAACAUAAGUUCUCAGCUCCUGCUCUAGAGCCAUGCUUGCCUGUUUCCAUGCUUCUCCAGACGAUGGUCAUGAACUCUGCUGCCCUCCGGAAUCAUGAGCCCCAGACUAAAUGCUUUCUUACGAGCCCGUAUCCAAUAGGCUCUCUCCAAUGCCACUUUUGCCUUGGGACCCCAAUGCUGAUGAUUCUAACAUCCGGAAGCUGACAUCACUAUUCUCCAGACCCUCCACCUGUUUGUCCCACCACCACCAGGAACUGUGAGCAACCAUUCCGGGACCUGACAUUCUGUAAACUUCACACCACCUUCCAGCAUACCCAGCCAGGAGUACUUCCUGGAUAAAAUAUUAAACGCGCAAAUCUGAGAAGUGCCUUAACCAGCGACAGACUGCACGACCACAGCCUGGCGAAGGAGACGCACGCCGUCCGGGGGUGGGAAGAUAUGCUCACACGAUCUGAAAUUCGCUGCUGUGAAAACAGAAGGAAACGGUCCUGUCAGGAGAACCAGCCCCUGCAGUUCCCUAAGGCUGGCACAAUGGAGGAAGGUUCCUCUCCGCCUGAGUUCCUACCUCGGUGAUGGACUCCGUGAUGGACUAUGAUCCUGACACCCACAACUAAGAUCCGGCAGGUGCUUGCAGACAGUGACAUCUUGUGGGAAAUCUCAGGAACUGCACCGUGGCAAAUCGCUGCUCCUUUUACUGUGGGGUCCUUGGAAUACCCAGUCAACAUCAAGGAAGCAUUCAUUCAUUCACUGCCUUCUGUGUACAAGGAACUGAUCCAAGUCCUGGAAUAAAGAAAGCAAGAGAGACUGGAUGGCUACACGGGGAGUGAAAAAAUUCCCAAGGAUUAUAACCUUGUCAUUACUGCUCAACUUUAAAUAUAUUUUGUGUGUGUGUG